rnacentral:lncRNA from 1 species
UGCCAGUCAAAUACUUUAUUAUACACCAGAGAGAAGGGAAAAGUACCGUAAAAUUCUUCAUUAUACACUGGAAGGGAGAGAAUUGCUGGAAAAUGAAAAAGUCUAGGGGGCUGUAAACAGGAAAUAAUCACAGCCUCCCACAGGUUUACAUAUAUAUCCUAGAGCCUCUCACCCUCAGAUCAUUCUCCUGUUCUCUCCCAGAUCCAACUUCACAUACAGUAGUCUCAUACAGACCACAUAAGCAGGACUCCUGCACAUCCACACCCACACACGUCCACUUGCUGCUCCAGAGAUUCUUGUCAAGUGUCCUCGGUGCAUCUUCCUUGACCUCCAGCAUGGCACCAUUCCUCUUCUUAGUGUAUUGAUGUUCUCACAUCAGUACAGGGGAUAAAAAUGAGACAAGGGUUUAAAUAGUAAGGGGAGAGGCAUAGUGGGGAUCAGAACAUACAUCUUGGGCAGGAAAUUGAGUUCAUGUCAACAUCCAAGUAUGAAAAUGAACCAGAGACCAUGAGUGUGCUAAAUGGCUGUGCUGUUUGGUGACUGUAUGUCCCUGCAGGAUGUGGGUACACCUGUGCAUUGUGUGUAUUCCUAUGCAGUCUGUUUGCUUGAGUGGUGUGGGGAUCUUUGUUCCAUGUGAGCAACCUGUGUGAUUUAGCUGUGUCUGUGCCUUGGUGUCCUUGCAUGUGACAGUGCAUAUGAGUAGAAGAGAGAGCAAUACUAAAGCUAUGGCACUGGACAAAGACAUCCUCAAUUCUGAUCAGGGAUGUGGCCUUCUACCUUGGGGUUCCUUUAGGCCCUGAUUCUAAUACCCACCCCUCAGCUCUGAGUGAGGCCAAAUACUCUGAGGACUCUGCUUUUUAGUAAACCAAUACUUACUUAUGGAGAAAGGGUGUGGUAUCUUCUGCUUUCUUCUUUUCAACCUCCUCAAGGAUGACUGGGGGGUACUUUGUCCUGUGAGAAGGAGUGAGUGUGGAGACUGUUCAGGCUCCUCCUUUCCAAAUCCCUUCCUCCAGCAUCCCAGCCUCCACACCGCCACCAUAUUACUUUGCCUCUUUCCCAGUUCCUCCUGCAAGGAAGAUUCUAAAACAAGUUCCCAGAUGUGGUCCCCAGCUUCUCCCCCUCACACUAGAGCCUUCCAGGAAGCUGGGUUCUGGGGUUCCAUUUUACCUACCUCCAGGUUCACCACACUGACAGAGCACAAGUUCAG